rnacentral:tRNA from 1 species
ACCAGCAUGGUGUAGUGGUUUGAGUGUUGGACUGCAACUCUUGAGGCCAGGGUUCAAUUCCCAGCUCAGCCA